AUGACGAAGCUAUGGACAACACAUCACCAUAACCACAUUGAUGGUCCAAGCCCCAGUUCCAGUCUUGGCGCGAGGGUGCCGGUCUCAAUGAUGCUCCUCCUCUCCUUUCCUUGGCUGGUAGCGGCCUGUGCUGCACUUCUUACCCCGAGCGCCGUCCUCACCACACCUUGGCCUUGGCCUCGCCUCCUCUUCCUACAGAUAGAUCUAGCGAACUUUGGUGGGCAACUAUUUUGCCAGGCAGAUGCUUUCCUCUGCUCGGUCAAUUAUGUGUCAGUCCCAAGUACAGUUGAUCAGCGGCCGCACAACAUUGAAAUUGGUCAGAGAAGCUUAGGGAUCAAGGGAUGGCCUUCCUUGUCGGCGGUGGAUCAGAUGCAAACUGGAGCCGGCGACCAGCCCUUCUUCCUCGCCCUCAGCCUUGACACCACCGCUGACGCCUCCAGGAGCAGUCGGGCAUUAGCGGCGACGCCGGCAAGGCAACAUGCGUUGCAAUAUGCAAGCAAAUCAAAUAUUCAACCAUGUGGUUUACUAUUAUGCAGUGUGAAAAACGGUGUAAAUAAGUUAUCUGGGACUAAUACUAUAGCCUGCUUUUGA
rnacentral:rRNA from 1 species